UCAAACUUGGUCAUUUAGAGGAAGUAAAAGUCGUAACAAGGUUUCCGUAGGUGAACCUGCGGAAGGAUCAUUACGUAUUUUAGGCCAGUUUGACUGGUUCUAUUCCACCCUGAUUUUGCGCACUCUCUGUUUCCUCGGCAGGCUCGCUUGCCAGAAGGACAUUUUUUUCAACUCGUUACAUUAGCAGUCAGCGUCAGAGUAAAUAAAAUGGUAACAACUUUCAACAACGGAUCUCUUGGUUCUGGCAUCGAUGAAGAACGCAGC
rnacentral:misc_RNA from 1 species